rnacentral:rRNA from 1 species
UACGAAGGGGCUAGCGUUGUUCGGAAUCACUGGGCGUAAAGCGCACGUAGGCGGAUCUUUAAGUCAGGGGUGAAAUCCCGAGGCUCAACCUCGGAACUGCCUUGAUACUGGGAUCUCGAGUCCGGGAGAGGUGAGUGGAACUGGCGAGUGUAGAGGUGAAAAUUCGUAGAUAUUCGCAAGAACACCAGUGGCGAAGGCGGACUCACUG